UGAGUGCUAGGUGUUGGAGGGUUUCCGCCCUUCAGUGCCGGAGCUAACGCAUUAAGCACUCCGCCUGGGGAGUACGACCGCAAGGUUGAAACUCAAAGGAAUUGACGGGGGCCCGCACAAGCGGUGGAGCAUGUGGUUUAAUUCGAAGCUACGCGAAGAACCUUACCAGGUCUUGACAUCUUGCGCUAACCUAAGAGAUUAGGCGUUCCCUUCGGGGACGCAAUGACAGGUGGUGCAUGGCUGUCGUCAG
rnacentral:rRNA from 1 species